rnacentral:tRNA from 2 species
GGACCGUUAGUCUAGUUGGCUAGGACGUCGCCUUCACACGGCGAAGAUCACCGGUUCAAAUCCGGUACGGUCCACCA